AAGUGAAAGUAGAAACCCUUUAUAGCAGUUUGGCGUUUUUGUAUGUUGAGAUCGUUAUCAAGUCGAUUCUUUCAUCAACUUAAUGACAAAUGUUUGUUUUUAUGGCCUAUAGAUGCAUUCAACAACUUGAGUUCAGUGACACCGUGCUGCUUUUUAUUAAGUCCAAGAUGCCCAAAGCUGAUAAGACUGGCGAUUGAUCCUUAAGUGAUUUUGACAGACGAUUGCAUCAUCACAAUAUUAAAGGUUCAACAUACAGUCAGCCUCUCAUAAGAAAAAAAUCCAAAGAUCCAAGGCUAAUGGCUUGCUUCAAAGUUAAGAGACCAUUCUGUGCCACAAAGAAAUUGUUCCGGAAGUGGAGAACUGGUGGAUUUGCAUUUUUGGUACAAUUCAAAGGGAUUCUCAAAAUGGUCAGAUCAGAGGGAGGACAACUUAAAAUAUUGAAAGAUACAGAAGGAAAAAGAACAA